AUGUUUAUUACAGCUGGCAGAGAGGAAAUAAAAGGCCUUGACGUGGUCCAGCUUCCACCUUAUUCCCUGCAGGCAAGCUGGUAUUAUUAUGAAGAGCCGAAGUUUCUCAGCUGCGUAGGCAAGAUUGAAUUUUGCCACACCACAGUGAAGGGCCAGGACCUGCCUGGGGAGUGCUGGGAAUGCCAAGGUCCCAGCUUCAGACAGUUGUCUGCCAUCCGCUUUGGCCAGACACCAAGACGCUAG
rnacentral:lncRNA from 1 species